rnacentral:rRNA from 1 species
GAUGAACGCUAGCUACAGGCUUAACACAUGCAAGUCGAGGGGCAGCGGGAUUGUAGCAAUACAAUUGCCGGCGACCGGCGCACGGGUGAGUAACACGUAUCCAACCUUCCGGUUACUCGGGGAUAGCCUUUCGAAAGAAAGAUUAAUACCCGAUAGUAUAAAUUUUCCGCAUGGUUUGUUAUUAAAGUAUUCUAUCGGUAACCGAUGGGGAGUGCGUUCCUAUUAGUAUAGUAGGGGUUCGUGAGAGGAAGGUCCCCCGACCAUUGGAACUGAGACACGGUCCAAACUACCUACGGGAGGCAGCAGUGAGGAAUAUUGGUCAAUGGGCGAGAGCCUGAACCAGCCAAGUAGCGUGAAGGAUGACUGCCCUAUGGGUUGUAAACUUCCUUUAUACGGGAAUAACACGCGGCACGUGUG